rnacentral:rRNA from 1 species
GUCCACGCUGUAAACGAUGGAUACUGGAUAUUGGCAGUGUCGACCCUGCCAGUGUCGAAGCUAACGCGUUAAGUAUCCCGCCUGGGAAGUACGAUGGCAACAUUAAAACUCAAAGGAAUAGACGGGGACUCACACAAGCGGUGGACCAUGUGGCUUAAUUCGACAACAAACGAAGAACCUUACCAGGACUAGAAACCCAACUGACCAUACUAUGAAAGUAGUACUUCGCAAGACAGUUGGGCAGGUGCUGCAUGGUUGUCGU